UUGGAGGGCAAGUCUGGUGCCAGCAGCCGCGGUAAUUCCAGCUCCAAUAGCGUAUAUUAGAGUUGUUGCAGUUAAAAAGCUCGUAGUUGAAUUUCGGGAUCAGCAGGUUGGUCGUGCCUCUGGUAUGCACUGGUUUCGCUGAUUCCUCCUUUCUGAAGAACUGUAAUGUCAUUAAUUUGGUGUUGCAGGGAAACAGGACUGUUACUUUGAAAAAAUUAGAGUGUUUAAAGCAGGCUAACGCUUGAAUACAUUAGCAUGGAAUAAUGAAAUAGGACGUUUGAUCCUAUUUUGUUGGUUUCUAGGAUUGACGUAAUGAUUAAUAGGGAUAGUUGGGGGCAUUAGUAUUCAAUUGUCAGAGGUGAAAUUCUUGGAUUUAUUGAAGACUAACUACUGCGAAAGCAUUUGCCAAGGAUGUUUUCAUUAAUCAAGAACGAAAGUUAGGGGAUCGAAGACGAUCAGAUACCGUCGUAGUCUUAACCAUAAACUAUGCCGACUAGGGAUCGGAUGAUGUUAAUUUUUUAAUGACUCAUUCGGCGCCUUACGGGAAAC
rnacentral:rRNA from 1 species